rnacentral:lncRNA from 1 species
AAGGCUCAGCACUAGCUUCGUAGCAAAAAUGAAAAGUGUCUUUUUGGUCCUUUGGGGUAAUGGAAUACAAUAUUUGGUACUUUGGCACUUUUUAAAAGUCUGCUAUUCCUUUUACUCAUAAUUCACAGAAUCACACAGAAUCACAGAAUGGCCAAGGCUGGAGAUCAUCUAGUCCAACCCACCUGCUCAAGCAAAAUUUCUUUUCCAAGGAUCAAAUCUAAUUAUAAAAAGCAUGAUAAAAGUCUUCAGAACUCAUAGAGAGAUCAACCCCACAAAAAUAGAAAGCAUCUUCAUGAAAGAGUAAAAAGGAUUCAAAAAUUACCUUCAGUCAUGACAAGAAGCUUCCAAAGCCAUCUUUCCCUUCAUUUCAUCUCUGUCGAAAUCACCAGGAACAGGAUGUGCCAAACUCAGUCUCUCCCGUUGAUGCUCCUCUGCUCUGCUGAAAAUGUGAAACAUUCAUUAAGCCUGAUAUAUAGAUCACUUCACUGUCAUGACGUGGUCCCGGACUCACUUAUUUGUUCCAAAUCAAGCCAAAUGACAGCAAGGUUUCUGCAUAUCAGGUAUGUGCCCUACAUAUGGACCACUAGUACAAGCCUUCUCUGUAAAACUAAAGUUUUCUUCAGCGGAUGCAACUUAACUAGAAC